CACAGCCAGAGGAUAGCUCCACUCUGCACCAACACUCAGGUAACAGAUACACAGCAUCCACCCUUUUUAUUUGUUACAUUGUAUCCUGUAUCCUGUUAGCAGCAUCCCUCGCCACCAUCCUCACCCAUGCCCUCUGAUACUUGAUUGCAGAUCAAGGGCUGCAGGGAUCUCUCUCCAGAAGGGGGGGUUUAAAAAAACAAACAGCACCGUCAAGAUAAAGGCUGCCAGGAGGGAUCCACAUUGUGCGACUUCUGCAAACUUCCGGAUACUUAAGAAGAGAUAGAAAUGGAAACCAAAG